GCACCAGUGGUGUAUGGUACACGCGCCGUCCAUGUGUGCAUGCUGUGAUGGCUUUGAUCGGCGAGACGGGGUUCGAUUCCUCGCUGGUGCA